rnacentral:rRNA from 1 species
UUGAUCAUGGCUCAGGACGNACGCUGGCGGCGUGCNUNNUACAUGCNAGUCGAACGNACUCUGGUAUUGAUUGGUGCUUGCAUCAUGAUUUACAUUUGAGUGAGUGGCGAACUGGUGAGUAACACGUGGGAAACCUGCCCAGAAGCGGGGGAUAACACCUGGAAACAGAUGCUAAUACCGCAUAACAACUUGGACCGCAUGGUCCGAGUUUGAAAGAUGGCUUCGGCUAUCACUUUUGGAUGGUCCCGCGGCGUAUUAGCUAGAUGGUGGGGUAACGGCUCACCAUGGCAAUGAUACGUAGCCGACCUGAGAGGGUAAUCGGCCACAUUGGGACUGAGACACGGCCCAAACUCCUACGGGAGGCAGCAGUAGGGAAUCUUCCACAAUGGACGAAAGUCUGAUGGAGCAACGCCGCGUGAGUGAAGAAGGGUUUCGGCUCGUAAAACUCUGUUGUUAAAGAAGAACAUAUCUGAGAGUAACUGUUCAGGUAUUGACGGUAUUUAACCAGAAAGCCACGGCUAACUACGUGCCAGCAGCCGCGGUAAUACGUAGGUGGCAAGCGUUGUCCGGAUUUAUUGGGCGUAAAGCGAGCGCAGGCGGUUUUUUAAGUCUGAUGUGAAAGCCUUCGGCUCAACCGAAGAAGUGCAUCGGAAACUGGGAAACUUGAGUGCAGAAGAGGACAGUGGAACUCCAUGUGUAGCGGUGAAAUGCGUAGAUAUAUGGAAGAACACCAGUGGCGAAGGCGAGACAUGUCUGGUCUGUAACUGACGCUGAGGCUCGAAAGUAUGGGUAGCAAACAGGAUUAGAUACCCUGGUAGUCCAUACCGUAAACGAUGAAUGCUAAGUGUUGGAGGGUUUCCGCCCUUCAGUGCAUGCAGCUAACGCAUUAAGCAUUCCGCCUGGGGAGUACGGCCGCAAGGCUGAAACUCAAAGGAAUUGACGGGGGCCCGCACAAGCGGUGGAGCAUGUGGUUUAAUUCGAAGCUACGCGAAGAACCUUACCAGGUCUUGACAUACUAUGCAAAUCUAAGAGAUUAGACGUUCCCUUCGGGGACAUGGAUACAGGUGGUGCAUGGUUGUCGUCAGCUCGUGUCGUGAGAUGUUGGGUUAAGUCCCGCAACGAGCGCAACCCUUAUUAUCAGUUGCCAGCAUUAAGUUGGGCACUCUGGUGAGACUGCCGGUGACAAACCGGAGGAAGGUGGGGAUGACGUCAAAUCAUCAUGCCCCUUAUGACCUGGGCUACACACGUGCUACAAUGGAUGGUACAACGAGUUGCGAACUCGCGAGAGUAAGCUAAUCUCUUAAAGCCAUUCUCAGUUCGGAUUGUAGGCUGCAACUCGCCUACAUGAAGUCGGAAUCGCUAGUAAUCGCGGAUCAGCAUGCCGCGGUGAAUACGUUCCCGGGCCUUGUACACACCGCCCGUCACACCAUGAGAGUUUGUAACACCCAAAGUCGGUGGGGUAACC